CACUGUGUGUGUGCGUGUGCGUGUGUGUGCUGAGAGGAGAGAGAGAGAGACUGGUUUGGUGGUGGAAUUUUCUGGCCAUGGGGCCAGCAUCCUGGCACAGGUGAGGUGCGCCUGAAAGGGGAAAUGAUUUGCCCAAGGCAGUGCCCCUAGGAAUGGCCGAAGUCCGUCUAAACACCAUGUCUUCUGACUCUCAAUCCAGUAUCUUUCCCACUCUCCCUCAUUUCCAGGCAUGGCUUGCUCGUUUUUCAAAAAUCAUCUCGAAGGAUGUCCCAGUUCAACUUCGCCCCAGUUGCUCCAGCGCAGCCCCACGCCAGAACUUGAGCGAGAGCAGCAGUCCGCCUGCCGGGAGGGGGCGCUCGGCGAGGCGGCGGGGCGGCGGGGCGGCGGGGCGGCGGGGCGGCGGGGCGGCGGGGCGGGGCUCUCACUGGUACGAGCUCGGCCGCCCGUCCAAUCAGAGGCGCCGCGCCGUCGCGGGGCCCGUCCGCGGGAAUUUGAAGUGCCUGACUGGGUGGCCGGGAGACGGAGUCUCGGGGUCGCGUGCACCUGGGCGGCCAGGGAGGCUCCAGUGCCCGGGAGAAAGUUAACUGCAAGGCCUCUGAGGCACGGGAAUUCACAGCUGAGUUCUUGGAGAAGGUCCUUGAGCCAUCUGGAUGGCGGACAGUCUGGCACAUGAUGUGCUCAAGGUGCUGCUUGAGGUAAAGUUAAUUUUGUUGUUAAGACAUUUGUCUCAAGCUGUAAGCACUUUACUUCAGACUCUUAGAGCCAAAGUGCUUAUUUUUAAUUAAAGUUUAUGAGCUGAUUGAAAUAGCAUGUUUUUCACAUCUAAUUGCCAUGGUGUAGGAAGUGUUCCGCAAAUUUUAAAGGCAACUGAGGAGGAGCUACCAGGGAAUUAAAGUGGCUUAAGUUUCAGCGUCCUUUGACGAGGGGAACUGGAUUAUAAACCUAUGAAGUGGAGGAAGUAUUUGAGAUCAUUUAAAAAAUGAGGAGGCCUAAUUAUGAAGUCAACAGUUUCCAUUAAUUUUUUACCUUCUUAGUUGUAGCCCAUUAAGUAGCUCAAACCAAAGAGGCAUUUUAAAACUAUCCCAUUUUUGCCUAGUAAAUUUGUAGAUAUGUGGUUAAUCUUUUGAUAAUGUGUCUCAUUGCAGAAAGUAAAAACAAUCUUAUUUUUCAACUGACUGGGCCUUUUACAUUAAAUUUGCACUCCAAUUACAGCUGUGAAUUUUUCUCAGUGUUUGUUAACUGAACCACAAAAAGUCCUGUUAAGCUAAAAUGUUAAACCAGGGGGUGUGAAUACAAGUUGUUGCUGCAGCUCCUUUAGAAAAUGGCAUUGCAUACUGCAGUGAUUAUGAACGAGGCAGUGGGUUGCAGCUGUUCCUUGUGAGUUUUUAAGUUUUGGAUUAUGCUGAUAUCUUCAGUUGAAGUUCUGGCCUUUUCAUUGGGUUAUGAUAGUGCCCACCCCUCCUGCCCCCAUCACUUCUCUAAAAGCAGUCAAAGUCAUUGUUUUAAAAGAGAAGUGUACAAUUUCUCUGCUUAAAACUACUAAUGCAUUGCAUUUACCGAGGGUCCCGUGUUGGCUUUAUGGCUUCUCAUUGUGCUGGAGAACAUGUAAAAUCCAAGCGCCAGAUGCUCUAUAUGUCCUGGUCUUUUUGCCUUUCUCUCCUACCUCAUCACUUACUGUUUCUCCCCUGCUCCCAGUUUCCUCCCUUUGGCUCUAGCAAGAAGGACUGCCUUUCUGCUCUUUCAGUGGCCAAGCCCAUCUCGACCACAGGCCUUUUGCGUCUUCCCUGCUCUUUGGAUGGCUGCUUCCUUUUCAUUCUCAGCGCAGAGGUGACUUCCCCUGGCCAUCCCAGCAAAACCAGAUCACCACCCCUGCUAGUUACUCUCUGUCACCUACUCAUCACUAUCUUGUUUAUUUACCCCCUUGAUUACAAUGGAAGUUCCAUGAGCUAAAAGCCAGGCCUCUCAUGUUUAUCCUUUAUGGAAGGAUAGGCUUCCAUAAUGGAAGAAGCAUCCCUGCCCCUAUUGCAUGCUUUAAAAAAAUCAGGCUGUCAGUAGUGUUUUAUACGUGGAGCUUAAUUUUGAUUUCCACGUGUUAAGUCACAUUAUUUUACAUUUUAGGCCACAGAUGUGGACAUUUCAGCCUUGGAGGCAGUGGUGCAGCUUGCUGAGCCAUACCUCUGUGAAUCUUGAGCGAGUACUUUCACCUUGGAGUGUAUGAAAGAGCUCCUCGAGCUGAAGGAACAUCAGUUGCCCCUGCAGGAGCUGGGUGGUGUUUGAUGAUUCUGGAGUGUUUGACCAGACAGCACUUGUAACUGAGCAUGUCAGCUAGGAAGGUAAGUUGAUAAAAAUAACUUUGUGGCCAGAAACUUUGGAUGAAUUGAAGUAAUUCUGGUCUGUGUUAGACCCAGCUUUAAAAUUCAAACUGUAAACUUGGUCAUGGGAAUAUUUUAAAAUAUUCAAUGAUAGGAUAAUCUUUUUAAAUUAAAAAAAACGUUUUAAAUCAUUUGGGAUAAUUUCAAACUCACAGAAAAGUUAACAAAAAUAGUACAGUACAAAGCAUUUCUGUUUGUCUUUUACCUGGUAUCCCCAAAUGUUAACAAAAGGUAGGGGAUUCUUAAUUUGGUUUGUCUAUAUUUAGAAACUGACUUAAAAGUUAUGGAUGCUAAGGCUUAUGGUUGGUAUGUUUGAGUCUAAAAGGACAGAAAGAGGAAAGGAAGGAAAGCAAAGAAGUUUGUAUACCAUGAUGAUGAUGUACGCACUGAUUAAACUAAUACACAUUUUCUUCAAGGAGGUAUCUGGUCAGAGAAGGUGUUUUCUGAGGCUGCCUACUGGAUCCCUAGGGGUUGUGUUCCUGCCAUUCAGCCUAUUUGGCAGUUAUUUCCACCUGUACAAACAGACCCUUUGUCCCUUACAUGAGAAAGAAAGCCCACACCUGGAUUCAUAUUAAUAGGUAUGAUUUAAAAUUUUUUUCAGAUAAAUCUUCUAUCAGAUAGUGCCUGAUACAGAUAGUUCUUUUGGAUUUUCUAUAUGUAAGUAUAUUCACUGAAGAAGUCUACUUUUAGCCAUGUAAAAAUGGACUUAUAUUCCUCUAGUAAGUGGAAGACUGGCUAAUGCAAUGAUCAUAAUGUUAAUAAUGUUGCUUGGUGUUUUGUAGUUUUGAAAGUACUUUCCUGUUUCUAUACCAUUUGUCAGUUAACCUGGUUUUGCCAAGCUUAGUUUAAAUACUCGAUAAAGAAGCAGAGUGCCUCAGAUGCCGCUUCCGACAUCUUAUGGACAAUCUCUAAUUGCAUGCAAGAACAUUUAACCCUGGGUAUUCAGUAUUAAGCCAAGCAAUAUAAAUCUAAAGAACUGGUUUCUGUCCAGGACCAAAAUGACUCUGUUAUGUUUCUCUUGCUUUAAAAUAGUCUGUCAGUUGAAGCAUUUGAAGGUGAAGGGAUAACUGAUGAGUUUAGGAAAUUAGAGAGGAUGCCAAUCUCUAUGGGUACAGAAGUUGGUAGAAAGACAAGUACCUGGAACUGGUAAGAGUUCCUGUUAAGGAAGAGGAGCCUGGUUACAUUUACUCUCCAUGUUGAGGACUCAGAUUCUGGUUGGUGCCUAGAGAAGGUCAAAUUAUGAGGGUUUUCAUUUGCCCAUUGAUUCAAUAAGUGUGGAGUGCUGGGUUCUCAGUUGAGGGUGGGGUGUGACUGGUGCACAAAACCAACACCCUUGUCGGGGAGCUGCCAGUCUAAAGGUGGGAGGUGAAGCUUUAUAGAAUAGUCACAUAAGGAUGCAGAGGCAAUUGGAAGCGGCCGUGAGCACCGUGAAGAAUUGCAGAGUGUCCUAAGACUGGGUCAGGUUGCUCUUCUGUGCUUAUUUCCUGAGGAAAUGACAUUCAAAUUUGGGUGUAAAAGGUGAAAGGAAUGGCAGGUGAAAGGGGUGGCAGAGAUGGGGGAACUGGUUCAGGAACUCAGUGGCUUUGAGGAGCUGCAAGGUCAAUGUGGCCAGAACACAGUGCUGGGAGAGUCCUGUGGACUCUCAACCAGGGUAGAGAGGUUGGCAGGGCUCAGACGGUGCAGGGCUCUGUCACCCAGUGAAUCAUUUUGUAAGAGCAUGAAAAGCCAUUGAGGGAUUUUUAUUCUGGGGUCAAUAUGACUUGCUUUGUGUUUUAAAAGAUUCAUUCUGGCUGCUGUGUGGAAAACAAAUGGAGGGAGAUGGAAUAGGGAGAUGGGGAUAUGGAGGGGUCUAGAGUGGAAAUAUGGAGGGGUCUAGAGUGGGGAUAUGGAGAGAUCUAGAGUGGCGGAUAUGGAGGGGUCUAGAGUCAGGAUACGGAGAGCACUAGAGUGGGGGAUAUGGAGGGGUCUAGAGUGGGGAUAUGGAGGGGUCUAGAGUGGGGAUAUGGAGGGGUCUAGAGUGGGGAUAUGGAGGGGUCUAGAGUGGGGAUAUGGAGGGGUCUAGAGUGGGGAUAUGGGAAGGUCUUAGAGUGGGGUCAUAUGGAGGGUCUAGAGUGGCGAAUAUGGGUAGAGUUUGGUCUUAGAGUGGGAAUGGAGGGGUCUAGAGUGGGGUAUAUGGAGGGGUCUAGAGUGGGGUAUAUCCAGCCUGAGUGGAAUGAGGGGUCUAUGAGUGAGACUAUAGGGGUCUAGAGUGAGGAAUAUGGGGGGUC
rnacentral:lncRNA from 1 species